UUUUGACGGAGAGUUUGAUCCUGGCUCAGGACGAACGCUGGCGGCGUGCUUAACACAUGCAAGUCGAACGCUGAAGCUUGGUGCUUGCACUGGGUGGAUGAGUGGCGAACGGGUGAGUAAUACGUGAGUAACCUGCCCUUGACUCUGGGAUAAGCCUGGGAAACUGGGUCUAAUACUGGAUA
rnacentral:rRNA from 1 species